UACAGAGGUCUCAAGCGUUGUUCGGAUUCAUUGGGCGUAAAGGGUGCGUAGGCGGCGCGGUAAGUCGGGUGUGAAAUCUCGGGGCUUAACUCCGAAACUGCAUUCGAUACUGCCGUGCUUGAGGACUGGAGAGGAGACUGGAAUUUACGGUGUAGCGGUGAGAUGCGUAGAUAUCGUAAGGAAGACCAGUGGCGAAGGCGGGUCUCUGGACAGUUCCUGACGCUGAGGCACGAAGGUCAGGGGAGCAAACAGG
rnacentral:rRNA from 1 species